rnacentral:rRNA from 1 species
GACGAACGCUGGCGGCGUGCCUAAUACAUGCAAGUAGAACGCUGAAGAGAGGAGCUUGCUCUUCUUGGAUGAGUUGCGAACGGGUGAGUAACGCGUAGGUAACCUGCCUGGUAGCGGGGGAUAACUAUUGGUAACGAUAGCUAAUACCGCAUAAAAUGGAUUAUCGCAUGAUAAUCCAUUGAAAGGUGCAAAUGCAUCACUACCAGAUGGACCUGCGUUGUAUUAGCUAGUUGGUGGGGUAACGGCUCACCAAGGCGACGAUACAUAGCCGACCUGAGAGGGUGAUCGGCCACACUGGGACUGAGACACGGCCCAGACUCCUACGGGAGGCAGCAGUAGGGAAUCUUCGGCAAUGGACGGAAGUCUGACCGAGCAACGCCGCGUGAGUGAAGAAGGUUUUCGGAUCGUAAAGCUCUGUUGUAAGAGAAGAACGAGUGUGAGAGUGGAAAGUUCACACUGUGACGGUAUCUUACCAGAAAGGGACGGCUAACUACGUG